rnacentral:tRNA from 1 species
GGUUCUGUAGUGUAGUGGUUAUCACGUUCGCCUCACACGCGAAAGGUCCUGGGUUCGAAACCCAGCAGAACCA